GAAUAAGGGACCUCCAGAGUGUUGGCAACACCCUGCUUCAUAAGCUGAGGGAUCAUCCACUCUGUUGUGGCUGCUGCCACUCUUCACUGACAUCUGCUGCUUCAGCCCUCUGACAUGGACUGAAGACCAGUGUUUUUCCAGGAUACUGUAGGCCUUCAGCACCAGAUUGGGACCACUGAGGCAUUCAGCUUUGUGGACUGUGGCAGCUACUGGUAUGAGUUCAGAUGGUCAAGUGCCACAGGACCUGUGUGGAGAUCAGAGGACAACUUUUGGGAGUUGGGGAACUCUCCUUCCUCUGUGAGUUCUGGGAAACUCAGUUUGUACAGC